rnacentral:misc_RNA from 1 species
UAUCUCUCACAUCUGCACAUCUAGAAAAAAGCAUAAUCUAACAUGGACCUUCUCUGAGGAUCAUUUUUAUUAACAACUUCAUCAGCCUGUUCUGAUUAUUUCCUCCAUUUUUUUCCAUCAUUAGCUCUAUUUAGAUUCUCUAUAUUUUCAAUUUUCUCCUCUUGCUCAAACCUUUGUUGCUCUUCUUUUUCUACUUCCUUUCUCCUCUUAGAUUCCUUUUUGUUGGCUCGAUAGAAUUUUUCAAUUUUAAGGUUGAACAACAAUUGUGUAUCACUUGUGCUUUUCGAUCGUCUCAUAAACAAGAAAAUUACUUGAAAAAUAUAAGGAACAACAGUGAAAAUAAAAGAAAAUAAAAAUUCUAAUUAGCUUAAAACAAUUAAAAUCCAACUUAAAAACAAACAAUUUCCCGGCAACGGCACUAAAAACUUGAUGUUGUGUCCACAAGUGCACGGGUCACAGUAGUAU